GCCUGGGUGACUCAGUAGGUUAAGUGUCUGACUUUAGCUCAGGUCAUGAUCUCAGAGUCCGUGAGUUCAAAACCCACGUCAGGCU
rnacentral:tRNA from 1 species